rnacentral:rRNA from 1 species
GAUGAACGCUGGCGGCGUGCUUAAUACAUGCAAGUCGAACGCUUUGUGGUUCAACUGAUUUGAAGAGCUUGCUCAGAUAUGACGAUGGACAUUGCAAAGAGUGGCGAACGGGUGAGUAACACGUGGGAAACCUACCUCUUAGCAGGGGAUAACAUUUGGAAACAGAUGCUAAUACCGUAUAACAAUGACAACCGCAUGGUUGUUAUUUAAAAGAUGGUUCUGCUAUCACUAAGAGAUGGUCCCGCGGUGCAUUAGCUAGUUGGUAAGGUAAUGGCUUACCAAGGCGAUGAUGCAUAGCCGAGUUGAGAGACUGAUCGGCCACAAUGGGACUGAGACACGGCCCAUACUCCUACGGGAGGCAGCAGUAGGGAAUCUUCCACAAUGGGCGAAAGCCUGAUGGAGCAACGCCGCGUGUGUGAUGAAGGGUUUCGGCUCGUAAAACACUGUUGUAAGAGAAGAAUGACAUUGAGAGUAACUGUUCAAUGUGUGACGGUAUCUUACCAGAAAGGAACGGCUAAAUACGUGCCAGCAGCCGCGGUAAUACGUAUGUUCCAAGCGUUAUCCGGAUUUAUUGGGCGUAAAGCGAGCGCAGACGGUUAUUUAAGUCUGAAGUGAAAGCCCUCAGCUCAACUGAGGAAUUGCUUUGGAAACUGGAUGACUUGAGUGCAGUAGAGGAAAGUGGAACUCCAUGUGUAGCGGUGAAAUGCGUAGAUAUAUGGAAGAACACCAGUGGCGAAGGCGGCUUUCUGGACUGUAACUGACGUUGAGGCUCGAAAGUGUGGGUAGCAAACAGGAUUAGAUACCCUGGUAGUCCACACCGUAAACGAUGAGUGCUAGGUGUUUGAGGGUUUCCGCCCUUAAGUGCCGCAGCUAACGCAUAAGCACUCCGC